GGAAGAUUCUCCCUCAGUGUAGAAAGGAACCAUCCUAUUUGGGGUUCCAGAUGGAAAACAAAGUCAAAGGAAGGACAAACUAUUGCUCUCUUUCUUGCUUCCAAAGCAAGAGGCUCUUCUAUUCCUGCAUUUGAAUAUCAGAACUCCAGUUCCUCCAGCUCUUGGACUCUGGGGCUCACAACAGCAGCUCUGUUUUGGGGCCUUUGACCUGGGACUGAAUUCAUACCACUGGAUUGCCUAGACCAGGGAAGCCAGUUGGCAUGGCUCAGUCCAAGUCUGACCACCUGAGGAAUGCCUGGACUGAGCCGUGCUACUGGCUUCCCUGGUCUCCAGCUUGCAGAUGGCCUAUCAUGAGACUUCUCAGCCUCCAUAAUCAUGGGAGCCCAUUCCGCUAAUAAAUCUUCUCUAAUGUAACUAUCUCCAUAUCCUAUAUGUUCUACCUCCCUAGGAACCCUGACUAACAGUCAUUAACCUUUAACAGUACAUUUCAAACGAUGAAGCUCUUCGGAUUCCAAAUAUACUUAAGAAGACUUUCUAAAUACCAUUCAAAUGAAAAGAUAAAGCCAAAAAUUUAUAGUACCACUUAGAAAUGAGGCCGAAAUUUAUGGGACAUCAUUGUAAUAUUUUCCUGAUGAAUAUUUCCAGAAAAAAUUUCAUUUAAGGAGUGAUUGCAUUUUAAAAAGAAGAUGCAUGGAAGGAACAAUGAGGAUAACAUGAAACACACUUGCAGCAUAUUGUGGUGUAUAUAAAUUAUACUCCCGGACACUUCCUAGUUUGGUAACAAGUUUCAUGUUCUCCAAGUUUCCUGUUAAUCAGCAAUGUUUGAAACAAUUUGGUUGCUUCACUGUAUAAUGUUUCCAAGAAAACUAAAGCCUCACUAAUGUACACAUAGCUCUCAAAAGAAGACGUGUAUAUGCAUUAGAUUCCACUGUGGUUAUAUGAGCAUCCUAGGACAUUAAAAAAAGGAAAUUACAUAGAGAAGUCUCAGUGUGCUACUUUUUGAAGUCACGAAGAGCAAAGUAGUCUUCAGAUUGACACGUGUGCACCAUAUCUGAAUGAUAUAGUUAACUCCAUCAGUCCUGUUAUUAAGUUUUUCAGCUUUUGAUAUUUUUAAUAAAAAGAUUAGUCAAUACUCUAAUAUUGUUCACUUUUUCACUUCAUUUUUGUUUUGGUCAUAUGGUAUUGAGAAGGAUGAAGUUUUAGGUCAAUCAAUGGGAAGAUAAAAUAAAAUAUGAGGAGGAACAAAGAAAUGCACAGAAAAUUCCCAGCAGUUGAUGAAGGAAAAAGUAAUUGGGAAGUUAUUCAUAAGUGGUUAGCAUUUCAGAAAUCUCUGUGGCAUUGCUUACUAACCCACAUAAUAGAUGAGAUUAAUAAGUAUCCUGUUAAUCAGCAGCAGCGCUAUUAUCAUCAUUAAUAAUAUAAAUGUUUUCCUUUUCUAUUUCUUUUUCUUUUUUAAAAACUUUUAAGUUCAGGGUUACGUGUGCAGGUUUGUUAUAUAGGUACACUUUUGUCAUGGGGUUUUGUUGUACAGACUAUUUCUUCACUCAGAUAUUAAACCUAGUAACUAUUAGUUUUUUUUUCCUCAUUUUCUCCCUCAUCCAACCCUCCACUUUCCACCUUCCAUUAUGCCCUAUGUGUUGUUCCCCGCUACAUGUACAUAUGUUCUCAUCAUUUAGCUCCCUUUUAUACAUGAGAACAUGUGAUAUUUGGUUUUCUAUUUCUGCAUUAGUUUGCUAAGAAUAAUGGCCUCCAGCUCCAUCCAUGUCCCUGCAAAGACAUGAUCUCAUUCUGUUUUUUUUUAUGGCUGCAUGAUAUUCCAUGGUGUAUAUGUACCACAAUUUCCUUAUACAGCCUAUUACUGAUGGGCAUUUAAGUUAAGUUCAUUUCAUGUCUUUGCUAUUAUGAAUAAUGCUGCAAUGAGCAUACUCAUGCAUUUGUGUUUACAAUAGAACAAUUUAUAUUCCUUUGGGCAUAUACCCAACAAUGGGGUGGUGGGACUAAUGGUAGUUCUGACUUUAGGUCUUUGAGGAAUUGUCACGGGGUCUUCCAUGAUGGCUGAACUAAUUUACACUCCCACCAACAGUGUAUAAGCAUUCCUUUUUCUCCACAACCACAUCAGCGUCUGUUUUUUUUUUUUACUUUUUAAUAAUAGCCAUUGUGACUGAUGUGAGAUGGUAUCUCAUUGUGGUUUUCAUUAUCAUUUCUCUAAUAAUCAGUAGUGUUGAGCGUUUUUUAGUAUGAUUGUUGGCCACAUGUAUUUCUUCUUUUGAAAAGUGUCUGUUCAUGUCCUUUGCCCACUUUUUAAUAUUCACAUUUGCCGGAAAAUCAGGUUUGGGGAUAAGAUAAAGAUCAUAAAAUACAUAUUUAAUGUGCUUAAAGAAAUAAAAUUUGAAGAAAGAAUUCAUGGAUUGAAACAUUAAACAGAAAAAAAUUGUAGCAAAGAUAAAUAAAAAUGGAUAACUUGAAAAAAGUUAACAAGACAUGUAGAUGUCUUAAUCUGUGUCCCGUUGCUAAAACUGAAUACUGCAAACUGAUGAUUUGUAGGAAUAAAUGUUGAUUUGUUCAUGGUUCUGGAGAUGGAGAGUUCAAGAGCAUGUUUCUGGUAUCUAGUAAAAGAUUCCUUGCUGUGUCAGAACAUAAUGAGGGAAUCACAUAGCAAGAGGCCAAGAGUGUGCCCAUUCAGAUUUCUCUUCCUCUUUUUACAAAGCCACUAGUCCUACCACAGGGGCUCCAUUCUUAUGAUCUUGUCUAAUUCUAAUUACCUCCCAAAGUCACCACUUCAAGUCAACAUAUAAAUUUGAAGACUACAUUCCCAACACAUGGAAUUUUGAGACAUGCUUAAACCAUAGAAAUAAAUAAUAGAAUAAAAGUAUAGUAUGUAUCUAAUUAGUGUCUGAGAAGGGAAGAAAAUUAUGUAUUGGGCCACUGAGAUAUACUGGCUGAGAAAUUUUUAGAAAUGUUAAAACCACAAAUGGUCACUUAAAGGGGAGUACGUUGUACAUCACGCAUGAUAAAGCAAAAAUAAAUAAAUAAAUAUAAAUCUUCAUAUAAAAAUGUGGAGAUUUCAGGCCAUAAAACCAUUUUCAACCAAUUUCUAAAAUUUGAUAACAUAAAAAUUAUGUUAUCCAAG
rnacentral:lncRNA from 1 species